GCAAGUUUAGUGCCAGCAACUAUGGUAAUUCUAGCUCCAAUAGUGUAUAUUUAAGUUGUUGUAGUUAAAAAGCUCAUAGUGGAACUAGGGUUGGGUCAUCUAGCUCACCUCACGAUGAGCAAUGAUUUACUCAUCCCUAUUAUCAAUAAUAUGAUCUUGGCCUUAUUUGAUUGGAUCAUUCCUUCGGUGCUGUUACUUUGAAAAAAUCAAAGUGCUCAAGUAAGCCUACACUUGUAUACAUUAGCAUAAGGUAACAUCAUAGGAUUUCAAUCCUAUUGUAUUGGCUUUCAAGAUCAGAGUAAUGAUUAAUAAGGACAGUCAGGGGUAUUCAUAUUUCACAGUCAGAGGUGAAAUUCUUGGAUUUAUGAAAAGACGAACAACUAUGAAAGCAUUUGCCAAUGAUGUUUUCAUUAAUCAAGAAUGAAAGUUGAGAGCUUGAAGAUGAUCAAAUACCAUCCUAGUGUCAACCAUAAAUGAUGCUAACUAUGGAUCGAUGGAUAUUACUUUUAGGACUCUGUCGACACCUUAUGAGAAAUUAAAGUCUUUAGGUUUCAAAAGGAGUAUGGUCGUAAGGCUAAAACUUAAAGGAAUUGAUGGAGGAAUACCACCAAAAGUGGAGCUUGCAACUUAAUUUGACUUAACACAAGGAAACUUAGCAGGUCCAGACAUAGUAAGGAUUGAUAGACUGAAAGAUCUUUCUUAAUUUUAUGGGUAGUGUUGCAUGGCCAUUCUUAGUUGGUGGAGUGAUUUGUCUUGUUAAUUCCAUUAACGAACGAGACCUCAACUUGCUAACUAGCUACACAAAGGUGAUCUUUUAUGGAUAUCUUCUUAGAAUGACUAUGGCCACUUAGGCUAAGGAAGUUUGAAGCCAUAAUAGGUUGUGAUGCCCUUAUAUGUUCUGGGUUGUAUGCACGCUAGACUGAUGUAUUCAACGAGAGGUAAUUUUUAAUAUUUAAUCAUGAUGGGGAUAGAUCAUUGCAAUUGUUAGUCUUGAACGAGGAAUUCCUACUAAGCAUGAGUCACUAGCUCAUGUUGACUAUGUCCUUACCCUUUGUACACAUCACCCAUUGCUCUUACUAAUUGAAUGGUUUAGUGAAGUGUUUGGAUCAUGGCAAUGUGGAUGGUUUGUUGCUCAUAAUGUUAUAAGAAGUCUACUGAAACUUAUCAUUUAGGGGAAGGAGAAGUCAUAACAAGGUUUCUUUAGGUGAACCUAUGAAAA
rnacentral:rRNA from 1 species